UACGGAGGAUCCAAGCGUUAUCCGGAUUUAUUGGGUUUAAAGGGAGCGUAGGUUGACAUAUAAGUCAGCUGUGAAAGUUUACGGCUCAACCGUGAAAUUGCAGUUGAUACUGUAUGUCUUGAGUGUACAAGAGGUGGGCGGAAUUCGUGGUGUAGCGGUGAAAUGCUUAGAUAUCACGAAGAACUCCAAUUGCGAAGGCAGCUCACUGGGGUACAACUGACACUGAAGCACGAAAGCGUGGGUAUCAAAC
rnacentral:rRNA from 1 species